UGGGGUGCUCGAGUGGCGAACGGGUGAGUAACACGUGAGUAACCUGCCCUUGACUUUGGGAUAACUUCAGGAAACUGGGGCUAAUACCGGAUAGGAGCUCCUGCUGCAUGGUGGGGGUUGGAAAGUUUCGGCGGUUGGGGAUGGACUCGCGGCUUAUCAGCUUGUUGGUGGGGUAGUGGCUUACCAAGGCUUCGACGGGUAGCCGGCCUGAGAGGGUGACCGGCCACAUUGGGACUAAGAUACGGCCCAG
rnacentral:rRNA from 1 species